UACAGAGGUCUCAAGCGUUGUUCGGAAUUACUGGGCGUAAAGGGUGCGCAGGCCGCGCGGGCAGUCAAAUGUGUAAUCCAGGGGCUCAACCCCUGAACUGCGCUUGAUACUUCCGCGCUCGAGCUUUGGAGUGGAGUCUGGAAUUCUCGGUGUAGCAGUGAAAUGCGUGGAUAUCGAGAAGAACACUUAGGGCGUAGGCAAGACUCUGGACAAAUGCUGACGCUCAUGCACGAAGGCUAGGGUAGCGAACGGG
rnacentral:rRNA from 1 species